UAGCAGGAAUCCGUGGCCGAGAGAAUCCCCGCCCGUUCUGAACUGAACAGACUCCAGUUCCUCUAUGCCCGAUAGGAACACGGAGGCAUAGAGAUGUAAGGUAUCUUGAGCAAAGCCACAGAGGGAAGGUUCCAGGAGCUGGAAUUCCAUCCCUCAUCUGUCUGGCUUCAAGACCCACGCUCUCUCUGAGGACGAAGAUAAGGACGCAAACCAAAACAGAGAGGAGAAAACAAGCUGGCCCGGAGGGUUGAAGAGUGAAAUCACCCCAGUCACGGCGGAUUUGACUACGAAAGGGGCUCUGAGAAGGCAAAUGCCUUUGCCCAAGGUCACCGGCCGGAUGUAGUGGAAUCCAGGACCAGCUGCCUCCCCACACCCAUGGUGCUUUUAUGGCACCGGGAGAGGCCAAGUGCAAGAAAGGAAAUGGAAUGACUCGUUUACUGCUUCAGGCACUUUCAGCAACAAGUCCUGCUUACAAACCCGUCAGUCUACCUGGCCUCCCCUCUUCCUCUGGGGGCCUCCAGCUCCUCACCUGGCAGACGAAGAGGUUGGCAAGAUGCUUUCCGGAAGAUCUUAGAGCUCUGACAUUGGAAACUGCCAUGGUGAAGUGCAGAGAAGCACUCUUUAUUCCAAGGAACCCUUCAGUGCGAGGAGAAUCUUCCCGAAAUGGAAACUGGUAUGACUCCUAUAAGCAGUUAGCUGAUUUGUGUCUGUGUGCCCGUUAAAUGGAUUUACAGCUCAUGAUACCUCAUUUCAAUUUAACUAAUCCUCACCGAAUGGACAAGUGAUUUUAAAAGAUUCCCUGAAGGAACUGCAAGCUGAAGAUCAUAUUAAUGAGGCAAACCCAAGGGAACGGCAGGAAAAUGGCUAGGAGGCUACUUCGUGGCAAGUCCUAGUGCUCGCUGCUCUUUCAGCGAAUGCCUGGAUAAAAAUAA